rfam:Flavobacterium akiainvivens strain IK-1 scaffold00001, whole genome shotgun sequence.
CCUGUGAAUCAUCUACUAAGAUACAAUUUUGAAAGCUAUUCACAAC